UACGUAGGGGGCAAGCGUUGUCCGGAUUUAUUGGGCGUAAAGAGCGUGUAGGCGGCCAAGCAGGUCCGCUGUGAAAACUCGAGGCUCAACCUCGAGACGUCGGUGGAAACCGUUUGGCUAGAGUCCGGAAGAGGAGAGUGGAAUUCCCGGUGUAGCGGUGAAAUGCGCAGAUAUCGGGAAGAACACCCGUGGCGAAGGCGGCUCUCUGGGACGGUACUGACGCUGAGACGCGAAAGCGUGGGGAGCGAACGGGAUU
rnacentral:rRNA from 1 species